rnacentral:rRNA from 1 species
GAUGAACGCUAGCGGCAGGCUUAAUACAUGCAAGUCAAGGGGGUAGCAAUACAACCGGCGCACGGGUGAGUAACGCGUACACAACAUACCAUAUACUGGGGUAUAGCUUUGGGAAACUGAAGGUAAUCCCCCAUAACAUUGCGAGAGGGCAUCUGAUUGCAAUUAAAGUUUCGGCGGUAUAUGAUUGGUGUGCGUUUGAUUAGCUAGUUGGUAGGGUAACGGCCUACCAAGGCGACGAUCAAUAGCUGGCGUGAGAGCGCGACCAGCCACACUGGAACUGAGACACGGUCCAGACUCCUACGGGAGGCAGCAGCAGGGAAUAUUGGACAAUGGGCGCAAGCCUGAUCCAGCCAUGCCGCGUGAUAGAUGAAGGCCCUCUGGGUUGUAAAUAUCUUUUAUCUGGGAAGAAACUCCUCUAUUCUUAGAGGCCUGACGGUACCAGAGGAAUAAGCACCGGCUAACUCCGUGCCAGCAGCCGCGGUAAU